AAAAGAGAGAACAGAACGCUGUCGUCCUACACAACUUUCUCCCUCGCGUCUCGUUCUUUUCUUCCCCCGACUGGUGGCUAGGGUUCCCAUCGGCAGUACCGCAGCCGCCGCCACUGGAGAAGGCGGCAAGGCGCCCUUCUGAGAUGCUCUUCUCCUCCAAACUUUUUGUCUUCGCAGCAAGGUGUCAUUCCAUCCCAUCACCAUGGUGGUUGCAGAGGAGGGGAGGAAGGGGAUGGCAUCGAGGUGCCGACGGAGCACAUAGGUCGAGGCGGCAAGAUGCAGAGGUGCGGGUGGUGCGAACGGAGAGGCAACUCCAUACCCGCGCGCAGUCGCCUGCCCUCUCCUUCCUCCUCUGCCUUCCCUCUCCUCCAGUCAGCGCCGCCACCACUGCCACACCUCGCCGCUACACUAUUCCUGCAGCGGUGACCCCGUGGAGGAGCAGAUCGACCACAACGGUUUAAAGUUCUCUGCUAGGUUUGGAGCUACUACUCCAUCUUCGAUCCCAGCCAUCUCGCACCCCCCUGAAAAUUUCUGGGUAGGUACAAGGUGCCCUCCCCAUCUCCUGUGUGUAUGUUGGAUUCGAUUCGAAUUGAGAACAAUAUAUCAGCUCAUCUCAGUGAAUUUCUUAUUAGAAUGUAAUAAAUGCAUCGAUUUUUAGAUUACAAGAAGCCUGUUGUUGCAGUACAUAAAGGGAGAAUUAAUCCUACUUAAAUUCAGAGAUAGCAAGACAUGAACUACUGACCGUCUCGGGCUGACAGCUGAGGGAGAGGGGGAGGGCAGCUGCCGCUGCUUCUCUCGAGCCCUUGUUGCUGGUGUGGUGGAUCUGCUCCGAGCCCCUCAAGCCACCCAUCUUCAAGAAAAUUACAAUAUGAUGAAUCUGAAAGGAGAAGAGAAAUGGCAAAGAACUCCCUUAAUAUACACAUUAUUAUGAACAAUGGACAGCCAAUCAGUCAAUUGUCGCAAGGUUGAGACUAGAGUCCAACUCUGAGCUCUGAGCUCCAGGGGAGUGACCAACUCAUGGCGUGGUGUCUGCUUGCUGUAGGUAUACUCAUCCUCAAUACCCAGCUCUCUUCUCGUGCACUUCUUCUUGAUCAUCAUGUCUCUGAAUCCCGCAUGUAUGUUCUCUCUUCCUUCACCAUCCUUCUAGGAGUAUUCGACAAGUAAUCUCUUUUUCUCAAAUAUCCAUAGUUCACAGGACUGGUGAUUGCUUAGCAAAGCAUUUGAACAAUUUAACUGAUGCUCAUGAUUGUAAACUGCAUGAUACAGAGCACCCUAACGAGUUUAUAUAUGUCAUCAUUGAAGAAAAUGUGAUCAGCGAAGGAGUUUCCUUUUAUUAAAAUAAAUUGGAAUAUAACUUUGAUUUAGUAAUACGCUCUUCAUGAUUUAUUUUCGUAUGGCUUCAGUCUGAGGGCAAUGAGCACUGGAGGUUUCAUAGCCACUCUUGAGUUAAUGAUGACCUUGCCUAAAAAAAUGCCCACAUCCCAUAUAGGCCAGUAUUAUUCAAUAUCCACAUGCCUCAACAUGUACAGUGCACAGUUACUUACAUAAGUAAACCCUCAGCUCACUCUAACCUUUUGUUGUCAAAUGUAGGAACUCCAAGCUAACUCAUAUAUCAAUCCUAUUUUCCUGUAACUAUUUUAGGUGCAUCUACUUGAUUUCUCCUUUUGGUUUAGGGAAAGUUUCAAGGGUCACUACUUUUGGAUUCUUAAUUGAUGUUUUUUGUGUGGCAAUCAAACGAGAGAGCAUCCAAUAUCUGUUACCUACUCCCUCCGUUCCAAAAUAGAUGACUCAACUUUAUACUAUUUUGGAACGGAGGGAGUACAUUGGAGGCCGAUGCAUUAGAUUUCACCAUCUUCAUCUAUUUUGUUUCAAGAUCAUUGUUAUUUUGAUUCAAGAUAUUUUCUCAUUGUGAUGGAAGAUAGAAAAGGAUGGUUGUAGAAAGACAAUUAUUUUACUUGGAGUUUUUUUUCUGUGUUUGCAUUGAAAUAAUAAUGUUCAACAGCAGAUAUAGCUUGCAGUCAAGAUACCACACAAAUAGAAUUCAGUUUUACUUAAAGGAGCUUGCCAACCUAAUUUUGGUUCUGGCUGCAGCACAAUGCAGAUUUUGAUUUGGUUUGCUUGCAAGAGAUUUGUUAUUUUGAUUAUUUUAUUCACUAUUCUAUAUGAUUGUCCUUUACUUUGGAACUAAACAAGCUCCAUUUUCUGUCUUUUACAUUGCAUUCUUUCUUGGUUAACUGAACUUUUCUGUUCUCAUUUCUUCCAUUUAAUGACGUGAAUAUUUUUGAUGAGACGAUAGAUGUUCUUUCGGUCUUCUUGGUUAAAUGAACUUCUCUUUUCUUCAUGUUUGGCCACAAUGAAUACUUGCUCAUACCGAACUAUAAUUGCAAAUGGUUUGCGCAUGAACGAGCAUAGGCUGCAUUGCAUUCUUUUGUGGGAGAACAACAAGGAACUGGAGACGAAAUUGGAAGACAACAGGGAGUGAGUUGAAGGUACCUGAACAAGUCACCUGUACGUAUUGUCCCAUGUGCUGUCUGCUUACAUAGCUCUGUUGCCACAGAAGGAUGCAAACAUGAGUUCUGCAUGAGAUGUGUGCCACGUACAUUUGCUUGACCAGCUACACAUUGGUGAACCCAACAGGCGCUAUUAUCGUGCCCACUCUGUCGGCACCCGAUCAUCUCGUCGUCAUUCUGCACGACGAGCCUAGCGGUUUCCUCGGACUUCACCGCCCCCGGGGACCGGGCCACCGAGCUUCGUUGUGGUGCUGGUGCCCACAUGUUGUCGAUGGGCUUGAUGAGAACGGGAUGAUGCUACCGUUGGUGCGGAGCCAUUGCGCCAUCAUCAACCACGCACGACGGGAGUAGCUCUUUGAGGAGAUUGAGACUGAGGAUGACAAGGAGUUGAACCAGCACGAUGCCGAUGCCAAAAAGUCACAUGUCGACAGCUCUCGCGGGUUGGCGCUGCCGCCAACGACGACGAGGCAAGCGGCUUCGGCUCGGGGCGCGUCGAAGUAGUCUUUUUUCUUUGGCUUUUAGUCUUUAUUAUGCUCGGUGUCAAUCUUUUACGUUGUAAAAAGCCUUGCAUACACUUGUGCCAAGAAUGGACCAAACAAGAAAAUGAAAGGGGCGCUAUCCCACCUGGCACCGCCAAGGUUCCACCUA